rnacentral:lncRNA from 1 species
UUAAGUAUGAGCAAAGUCUUACUUACAUUGGAUGAAAAAUAGAUGUUGAGCACAAUAAAAGUGAGGAGACUAAUGCCUUAUGGACUCGUAUAGAUGACCAUACCACAUGAACUUUAUUAUACAUUGACUAUUCAACAUAUCCAGCUCAACUUGAGUGUUCAGGUCACGAAAGCUCCACCCUUCAACAUGUCCAACUCAGCUAUACCCUUCAACAUGUCCAGCUCAGCUCGUCCCUUCAACAUGCUUAGCUUAGCUCGUCCCUUCACCAUGCUCAGCUCAGCUCUUCCCUUCAGCAUGUAGAGCUCAGCUCAGCUCGUCCCUUCAGCAUGCUCAACUCAGCU